UUUUUAUUAAUUAGCCCAGCCAAAUAAAGGUGAUUUACUUCUUGGAAAGAGUAAACAUUGUUCAUGUCAUUCUACACUAUUUGAUGCACUCGGAUUAGUCUCUGUGUUGAAACUUUACAGGAAUGUGCUUCUUGACUUCAUUAUGUUUCCAAAUUUCCAAGAACAAAAACUACCAGCAGAACUAAAAUUCUCUCGUAUGAAAUCAAUAGCUACUUUGCUAUUUAGAACUCAAAUCAUCUCCGGGACUUUUUAUAGUUUGCGUCAUGAGUUACACUGCUGCUUUGCUUUUUAGAGUUCAAUUAAAUUGUUUGUAUCUGUUCACAGGGGGCAAAUUGCAUGAAUGUAAAAAUAUGAUAAAACUGAGUCCAAGAAUCACGAAUGAAGUUCUGCAAAAAACAAAUUAGGUUUGUUAGGGAUUUGUAAAGAAGGGCAAUAACAGUCAUCAUUGAUGUUUUGUGUAGCUUAUUUCCUCGCCUUUUAUGGUUCAUUUAGACAUUUGGAUCCCCUCUAAGGAACAAUUUAGGAGGACAAUUCAAUGGCAUAUAUGAGUAGUGGAGGGAAACAGGUAUAUGUUCUUCUACAGUCCAGAAUCAUAUAAGUGCAUUCUUGCUGGUAAGGAGUGUCCAAGCCUUGAUUUUCUCAAAAAUCUAUUUUAAGAAUAUGGCAGAUCCUAAUAUCAUAAAACAAUUAUUGUUUCUCCUUUGACCCAUGCCUGUAGCAUAUCCCAAGAUUAUGGACUAGUUGUGUUUGGUAAUGUUUGACUGUGUGGCUGACGAUGAACUUUGGGCUGUAUUUGAUUACUAGUGGGUUUCCCCUUCCCCUCGCCUAAGAAAAAGAGAGCUAAAACCAACAAAAAAAAAAAAAAAUGUUUUGGGCUAAUCUGUGAUUCAUUGGCUUUUGUUCUUUCUUUUUGCUACAUGUUCAGAAUCGUUAGUGCUGAUUGUAACUUGAAUUAAGCAAUGCUUUAUGCUAAUACCUGCCUUCUUUGUAUUUUGUCCCUCUCUCUCUCUCUCUCUCUAUAUAUAUAUAUAUAUAUAUAAAUAUAUAUAUUAUAUUUAAAUCCUUGAAUUACCCGAGGUACACUUGCGAGAAACUCCUUGUCGAGGGCCUGUGCACCCCCAGGAUUAGUCGGGACGUUGUUCCUAGACACCCGGUGCCA